AUUGAACGCUGGCGGCAGGCCUAACACAUGCAAGUCGAGCGGAUGAAGGGAGCUUGCUCCUGGCUUCAGCGGCGGACGGGUGAGUAAUGCCUAGGAAUCUGCCUGGUAGUGGGGGAUAACGUCCGGAAACGGGCGCUAAUACCGCAUACGUCCUGAGGGAGAAAGUGGGGGAUCUUCGGACCUCACGCUAUCAGAUGAGCCUAGGUCGGAUUAGCUAGUUGGUGGGGUAAAGGCCUACCAAGGCGACGAUCCGUAACUGGUCUGAGAGGAUGAUCAGUCACACUGGAACUGAGACACGGUCCAGACUCCUACGGGAGGCAGCAGUGGGGAAUAUUGGACAAUGGGCGAAAGCCUGAUCCAGCAAUGCCGCGUGUGUGAAGAAGGUCUUCGGAUUGUAAAGCACUUUAAGUAGGGAGGAAGGGCAGUAAGCUAAUACCUUGCUGUUUUGACGUUACCAACAGAAUAAGCACCGGCUAACUUCGUG
rnacentral:rRNA from 1 species